rnacentral:rRNA from 1 species
AACGAACGCUGGCGGCAUGCCUAACACAUGCAAGUCGAACGAGACCUUCGGGUCUAGUGGCGCACGGGUGCGUACCGCGUGGUAACCUGCCCUUAGGUUCGGUAUAACUCCCCGUAAGGGAUGCUAAUACCGGAUAAUGUCUUAGGACCAAAGAUUUAUCGCCUUUGGAUGGGCCCGCGUUGGAUUCGCUAGUUGGUAGGGUACAAGCCUACCAAGGCGACGAUCCUUAGCUGGUCUGUGAGGAUGAUCAGCCGCACUGGGACUGAGACACGGCCCAGACUGCUACGGGAGGCAGCAGUGGGGAAUAUUGGACAAUGAGCGAAAGCCUGAUCCAGCAGUGCCGCGUGAGUGAUGAAGGCCUUAGUGUUGUAAAGCUCUUUUACCCGGGAUGAUAAUGACAGUACCGGGAGAAUAAGCUCCGGCUAACUCCGUG